GAUGAACGCUGGCGGCGUGCCUAAUACAUGCAAGUCGAGCGAACAGACGAGGCGCUUGCUCCUUGCACGUUAGCGGCGGACGUGUGAGUAACACGUGUAUAACCUACCUAUAAGACUGGUAUAACUUCGGGAAACCGGAGCUAAUACCGGAUAAUAUAUUGAACCGCAUGGUUCAAUAGUGAAAGACGGUGUUGCGGUCACUUAUAGAGGGUUCCGCGCCGCAUUAGCUAGUUGGUAAGGUAACGGCCUACGAAGGCGACUAUGCGUAGCCGACCUGAGAGACUGGUAGGCCACAUGGGAGGUGGGACAGGGUCCAGAGGCCUGAGAGAGGCAGCAGACGCGAACCGGCCGCAACAGGCGAAAGCAUGACAGAGUAGCGGGGCGUGAGUGGUAGAAGUGUUCGGAGCGGAAUACUCGGUUACGAGUGGUGAACAGAUUUGUAAGUAACUAUGCACGUCUUGACGGUAACGGGUCAGGAAGCCACGGCUAACUACGUG
rnacentral:rRNA from 1 species